GUGCUCACAUGGGCAGCACGUAUGCAAAAUUGGAAUGAUAUGGAACAUAUUAGCUUGGCUCCUGCCCAAGGAUGACCAUGUAAAUUCAUGAAGUGUUACAUAUAUUU